rnacentral:rRNA from 1 species
AUUGAACGCUGGCGGCCGGCCUAACACAUGCAAGUCGAACGAGUGGCGGACGGGUGAGUAAGGUCUGGGAAACUGCCUGAUGGAGGGGGAUAACUACUGGAAACGGUAGCUAAUACCGCAUACCAUCAGAUGUGCCCAGAUGGGAUUAGCUAGAAGGUGGGGUAGAGGCUCACCUAGGCGACGAUCCCUAGCUGGUCUGAGAGGAUGACCAGCCACACGGGAACUGCGACCCGGUCCAGACCCCUACGGGAGGCAGCAGUGGGGAAGAUUGCACAAUGGGCGAAAGCCUGAUGCAGCCAUGCCGCGUGUGUGAAGAAGGCCUUCGGGUUGUAAAGUACUUUCAGCGGGGAGGCGUUACCCGCAGAAGAAGCACCGGCUAACUCCGUGCCAGCAGCCGCGGUAAUAC